GGAGAUUGUGGGUGCCGUCCCAUUCUCCUGAAUAACUUGCAUAGAGUAUGUUAUUAAUAGUUACAGCCUGCCAUGGAUAUAAUUGUACUUUUUGACCAGUCACAGGGCAUGUACUGAUCUGGGCACAAAGCAAUGUAACAUAACAUUUUAAUCUGAUUCCUCUUUGGGUACCACAGUGUAUCGGUAGAACUGGCAGAAGUUGUAUCAGUUAAUUAAAUGGCUCUCUUAGAGAUCUAAAGACUGUGUCCAACGUACCACAUGAGAAAUGCAUCAGCUUGUUAAAAUGUCUCCUAAU